CGGACCGGCGGACGGGUGCGUAACGCGUAUGCAACCUGCCUGACACAGGGGGAUAAUCCGAAGAAAUUUGGUCUAAUACCCCAUAAUACCGAUAUAGGCAUCUAUGUAGGUUGAAAGCUUUGGUGGUGUCAGAUGGGCAUGCGUUGUAUUAGCUAGUUGGUGAGGUAACGGCUCACCAAGGCGACGAUACAUAGGGGGACUGAGAGGUUAACCCCCCACACUGGUACUGAGACACGGACCAGACUCCUACGGGAGGCAGCAUG
rnacentral:rRNA from 1 species